rnacentral:lncRNA from 1 species
GAGGAGACCAACAAGCUGGAAGAUAUCCAGCUGGUGAAGUUGUAUCAACAUCUUUCUUCUGGGGAAGUGAGAAGGACCAUUCUGCCGUCUCAUCCUCUGAUCUCACACAGUCCUGUCCUGUCUCUCCUAUUCUCUCUUUCAUUUUUGUCCUUCUCUGCUCUCUGCUUCUAUUUCUCCAUCUGUCAUUUGUCUCUGUAUGUGCUUCUCUUUGUCUCCCUUCUAAUUUCUUUCAGGAUCGAACAUCCCUCAUUGUGGGAAAAUUCUUUGUUGUGUCUAAUUCAAAUCCCUUACUCUGUCGAUUAAAUCUCCUCUCUUUCUGGUUUUCUUUCUGGUCAAUAUGUUCUCCUCUGCAUCAGGGUCUCUUGAAACUGCUAUUAAUCAUGACUUCCUUGUGAUCUCCCUGCUUCCUCACGGGAAUCUAGGCCAGCGUUUCCACUAGGGACCAGUGUUGAAUGGCUUGACAGGGUGGAGAUGGAGGGAGAGCCCCCAGGGUCAGGGUGAAGAAGUGAAGGGUGCCAAAAAAGGAGGCAUCAGCCUCAACUUUUCCUACCUUCUUCCUGAUUCCCCCAGGACUCCGGCUCACUAACAGGGAAGGUGGAGUGUCAGAGAGAUCUUCCCAGAAACAGGCUGGAAAUACUGGAGCAGGAAAAUGCCCAGAUGGCCUUGGUGAUUCAGAGGUGGAAGCUGGAGAAGGGGCCAACACUUCAGAUAGAGCUGGAUGCCUGCAAGCAGGAGCUGGAACUAGAACGAAACUUGUGCCUGGCCCUGCAGCAUCAGCUUCGGGAGCUGCAAGGUGGUGGGGCUCAGCAGAGGGCAGAGCCCCCACAAGCAGUUCCAGGGCCAGGGCCAUGCCCCCCAGGGACCUCAAAGAGGAUGGAAGUUGAACCCCAGCGAGACACGCGCCAGUCCAGAGCAGAGCCUCCAAGGCCCCUGCAGGAGCUUCUAGGAUCUUCCUCAGGAAGUCCGCAGGUGCCCAAACUGCCUGGGCCAUUUCAGAGAGACAGCCAAGGGGGCCAGGGAGCAGGAGCUCCUGGGCCCUUGUUGGAGGCAGAAAUCUUAAGACAGCAGCUGCAGACAGAGAGAGCCUUGGGGCAAGAGCGGGAGCAGUACCUUCAGAGCCUCACCUCAGAACUUCAGGAGCUGAAGCUGAGGAAAUCAGAGGAGACCAAGGCUUCUCUGCUCACCACCCAGGACUGUGGACAGCAACAGCCAGAGACGGCUGAGUACCAGCUCAUGGCGUGCAGGAGCGAGAACCUGAGGUUGGAGCGCCUCGUGUCAUCUCUGCAACAGAAGCUGGAGGAGACGGAGCGGGCCCUGAAGGAGCCCCAGACACCGAGGGCCUCUGAGCAGGGGGAGCUGGAGAUGACGCCCUCCUCCCUGCUUAAGAAACUCUCUCUGAACUCCCGCCUGGGCUCCAGUCAGUUGGCCCCAGAAGACCUGAAGAGGGGACCCCGAACUGGCUGGGAGGGGGUUCCCCAGGGCCACUGCCCCCAUUGUAAUGCCUUUCUGGAACAGCUGGGUGCCAUGCUUCAAGGUGAGUUCCCCAUCGCCUGCUAG